GGCAUCGCUGGUAAACUGACCCAGUCUGUCACACCAGCAGUAACAGCCCACUCCGUGCUCUCGCGGACACAGUGGAAGCAGGCAAGCAGCCGCCGCCGCCACCGCCAGCAGAGCGAGGCGGGGAGCAGAGCAUACCGGUGAGGCGAGCGACCGGUGUCUUAAGCGAAGGCAAGCGCGGCUGAUCUGAUCCCUCCUUCCCUCGCGCUGCAGUCGACAGGGGGCAUCGAUCCGUUGCUCGUUCGUUAAUCAUUACCCCUGUGCUCUUCAGAAUCCUACUCUCUGCUGCUCUGGUUCUUCCUAGCCCGGUUCCUUGAUCCCGGUUUCGGUUGGGUCUGCGCGCAGAGGGAACGGGCCAACGGGGCCGCGGCGGCCAUGGAGGAAGCGGGGAGGGGGGCGGUCUGCGGCUUGCUCAAGGUCGUUGUGGCGCGCGGCCGCAGCCUCGCCGUCAGGGACUUCACCUCCAGCGACCCGUACGUCAUCGUCCGCGUCGCCGACACGACUGCAAAGACAAAAGUCAUCAACAGUUGCCUAAAUCCAGUUUGGAAUGAAGAGAUGACAUUCUCCAUGAAAGAACCAGUAGGAGUCAUCAAAUUUGAGGUGUUUGACUGGGACCGGUUCAAGUAUGAUGACAAGAUGGGGCACGCCUUCCUGGACCUGCAGCCUGUGGCAGCAGCGACAAAGCUGCGGCGAGCGCUGCGGCUCACGGCAGGAGAGACCAAACUCCGGAAGGUAGCCCCCGACGUCGACAACUGCCUGCUCUCUGACAGCUUCGUGAUCUACGCCAACGGGGAGGUCGCGCUAGACACCUGUCUGCGACUGCGUGACGUCGAGUCUGGGCUCUUAAAGCACAAGCUGAUGCAUCAAUAGAAAGUCGGCCUCCUCCAUGGGUUAUAGAAUUGUGGUCUCUCCAGUUGUGCCAAAAGAUUAGGAUGAUCAUAGAGUGCUCUUCCUUAGCCGAUCUAGCAAAAGUAAAAACCAGUCUGGACCUGAAAAUUGAAGUAGAGAGCCAUCUGGCACAAGCCAAUCAGCACACAUUAUUCCAGAAGAGCACGAGAAUGAGAGCAAGCAACCACUGCAUGGUUGUACUCUGGUGCUUCUUCUAUAAAAGGGGAGUGUAGGCUCUCUUGGACUUCAAUCGUAGUAGUCAUGGCAUUUGAGUGGAGAUCGUCGCUGGACAGUACUAGUCCUCCUGAUAUAAGUAGUCGAUGCAUACUGGGAGAUGCUAGAUGAGUAUUUGCGAGCAGCAAAAAUACUUGCUAUCUUCCUAGCUGCCGGCCUUGCUUCUCUAGGCUACUUCAUCCUGGUCGUCUUGUACCUAGUUGGCUGAUGGUGGAAACCGUGUCAGAAGCCUUUGUAGUCUGGUGGUAUCAUACUCUGGGAGGAGCUUUUAGUGGUUUCCCCCUCGAUGGCUUCUGCAGAGAUGGCAUUGUUUUUGUUGCAAAAACAUAUCAGAGAAAAGAAGACAUGGCGCUGACUGAUGCAAGAAGAGGAUUUGCGAUGCGCUUGAUCUUUCAUCUCUUCUUGCUAACAAGCCUUUUCUCUCUGAAUGUUUCAAGAUUAUUCCCAGUUGGGAAUAACAAGAUUUGUAUCCUUGUAACACCUAUAGGGCUAACAACUCUGUGUUGUAGAUGAGUUCGAGUAGAUUCGAGUAGUUUGAGCAUUUAGAUCUGUAUAUUUUCUUUUCUUGGAAUGUAAUCCUGGAAGAAUUGUGAAUGAAGGUUUUCAUCUUUUCUGGCUGGUUC